AUGUUCGUGUGGACACGAUCUGCCAACGAAGCUUUCGUCGCUCUCAAAAAAGCACUGAUUGAAGCUCCUGUGCUGGCGCUGCCCAACUUUCAGCAUCAGUUCGUUGUGGAGACGGAUGCAAGUGCCACGGGUAUAGGGGCAGUUCUUAUGCAGAAUAACCAUCCGGUGGCUUACUUGAGCAAAGCUCUAGCCCCUCGCAAUCUUGGGCUGUCAGCCUAUGAAAAAGAGUGCCUGGCUCUUCUCUUGACAGUGGAUCACUGGCGCCCCUACCUCCAGCAUGCAGAGUUUGUGGUUCGGACGGACCAAUAG
rnacentral:rRNA from 1 species